CUGAAAAACAACAUUAUUUAUCUGUUUAAAUUACAAAGACCCAAAGAAUAGACAGUGUCAAUGUAACUAAGUUGUGUAAUGCACAAUAGUACAUGUGUGUA